GCGGCGGCGCGCUGCAUGGCCGGGCCGCCGCUGCCGCCGGCGAGCUGGGUGAGGAACCGGCCGAGGCUGCCCUGUUCGAGUUCGGGCCGGCGCA
rnacentral:tRNA from 1 species